rnacentral:rRNA from 1 species
UACGAAGGGGGCUAGCGUUGCUCGGAAUGACUGGGCGUAAAGCGCACGUAGGCGGUCUUUUAAGUCGGGGGUGAAAUCCUGGAGCUCAACUCCAGAACUGCCUUUGAUACUGAAGAUCUUGAGUCCGGGAGAGGUGAGUGGAACUGCGAGUGUAGAGGUGAAAUUCGUAGAUAUUCGCAAGAACACCAGUGGCGAAGGCGGCUCACUGGCCCGGAACUGACGCUGAGACGCGAAAGCGUGGGGAGCAAACAGG